UACAUGGGGUGCAAACGUUGCUCGGAAUUAUUGGGCGUAAAGCGCGCGUAGGCGGUUAUCUAAGUCGGAUGUGAAAGCCCUCGGCUUAACUGAGGAAGUGCACCCGAAACUGGAUAGCUAGAGUACGAAAGAGGGUCGCGGAAUUCCCGGUGUAGAGGUGAAAUUCGUAGAUAUCGGGAGGAACACCGGUGGCGAAGGCGGGUCUCUGGGCAAUUCCUGACGCUGAGGCGCGAAAGCGUGGGGAGCAAACGGG
rnacentral:rRNA from 1 species